UACACACCAGAUGCUGUUGGGCCCUGGUGUGGGCUCCCUGGUUGGGAGAGGCCGAUCCUGAUACGGGCGGGAAGUGCUGUGCCAUCUCGGAGAAAGGGCACUGGUCCAGCUGGCAGGCUUCGGGGAGACUUCCUGGAUGGCUGAGUCUCCAACCCAGCCUGGAAAGAUGAGCUGGAGCCCUUGAGGCAAAGAAGGGGUGGUGCUGGUUCAGACAGAGGACCUGAGAGGCAGCUGUGUGGGGGACACAGCCCGAAUGAAGAGAGCAGGGCAGGAGCAGGCCGCCGUGUAUGGAAGUGACCAGAAGAAGAUGCAUCUGAGGACCAGAUCACAUAAAGAGGAUUACUGUAAGUUCCCAGUGACCAGUUCCAAAGAGUGGAUCGUACUUCUGGGAGAACUAAGCAGUGACCUGUUGAAGAAAGAGUGCUGACUUCAAAUUGACUUCAGCAAAAAGAGAAUAUGUUGGCUCAAGUAGCUGGAUAACUGCAGGAUGUUUCCAAGUGGAGGGCAGGCUGGCCUCUGGAGACUCUAGACACCCUCCCUCCUUAGCAGCCCAAGCAGAAGAGGGAUCUUCUGCCUCUUACAAGCAGGACUCAGUGCAGGGAAGGCUCUUGUUGGCUCUGCUUGGCACAUGGGCUCAUUCUUGAGCUGGCUGUUAGGACCCAGGAUUCUUCUGGAUGCUGCGCGAGACAACCCCAGCCUGUCCCUGUAAGAGGGGAUGCUUGCUGUCACUGAGGGAGGUGCAACGCCAGUUCUGUUCCAGAGCCCUCAUGGGCCAGCGCUAACUGACUUCGGCUGUGUUCCUUUAGGAAAACCCAUCUGCUCCCAGCCUCACUUCCUCCAACUCUGAAAGGACGGAAAAAUGCCUGCUUCUCUUGAACACAGGUUCUUCUGACAGCUAAGAGUAAAAGCAAAAUCUUAUGAUGAUGAUGAGGAGGAGGCAGUGGUGGUGGCUCCGGCCCUCUUACUCAAUUCUAUAAUGACAGAAGGAAAAUAUGGGGGCCGGGCUCUUUUCUCUCCCUUUGCUUGUUUGUGCUCCUCAUGGUUUAAAACAUCACUUCCCCAAUUCCUCACAGUUUAAACGUGGCUGGUCGGAAGGAACCGCUAUACACCUUGCUCUCCCUCUCUCUCUGUUGUCUCUUUCUCCUUUCCCCCAUUGUGGUUUCCCAAACUGUUGUCCUAGCAGACAGUUUCCCCAUUUCAAUUAGUACUUUUAAUAACAUUUCUUCUGAUUACCAAAAUAGUACAUGUAUAAAAUUUGGAAAAUAAAAAAGGAAGAUGCAGGGGUAAAAAACUAUCCAAAUUGUUCUACCCAGGGAGAUCAACCACAUUUUGGAUUUGACCCCAUGCUAUAAACAGUAAAAUUGCAAUUUAAUGUCCUGCAUUAUUGUAUUAACAUCAUGUCACAGGCAUUUCCCCAACACAAAACCCUUCAGGAACUUUAUUAUUUUGGUAAACAUUUCAUGUGUGGCUAUACAAUAGUUAAUCAGUCAGGUGGUAAUUUUGGGUGCUUUCUGUUUUGCACUAUUGUAAAGAAUGUGAAGAACAUUGGUGUUGCUGAAGCUUUGUUAAGGUUUUGAAUUAUUUCCUAGACUUGGGAUUAUAGGGUUAAAGAAUAUGAAUAUUUUGAUGAUUCUAAAUACAUACUGCAAGACUGCUUUCCAGAACCUUCGUAUACAUUUACACUCCCAGGGGCAGUAUUUGAGAGUACCUGUCUCUCUGGUUUUGUUGAGUAGCAUAAUUUAAACAACAAUUUGCUGAUUUGAUGAGUGGUAAUUCAGUAAUUUAAUGAACACUUAUUUCUGUUAAGACUGAACUUUUAACCUAUUAUUGAUCAUUUGAAUCUCUAAUUUUGUGAAUUAUCCAUUCAUACAUUUUCCCAUUUAUGUAUUGGGCUCAAUGUUUUUCUUACGAAUUUGUAAAGACUUUUGUUUUAAAAAAUAUUUCUCCUAGUUUUUUUAACUAAUUUUUUAUGUCAAAUUUCUUUUCAAAAUGGAAAUAGC